UACGUAGGGCGCGAGCGUUGUCCGGAUUUAUUGGGCGUAAAGAGCUCGUAGGCGGCUUGUUGCGUCGACUGUGAAAACCCGCGGCUUAACUGCGGGCUUGCAGUUGAUACGGGCAGGCUAGAGUUCGGUAGGGGAGACUGGAAUUCCUGGUGUAGCGGUGAAAUGCGCAGAUAUCAGGAGGAACACCGAUGGCGAAGGCAGGUCUCUGGGCAUUAACUGACGCUGAGGAGCGAAAGCGUGGGGAGCGAACAGG
rnacentral:rRNA from 1 species